GACGAACGCUGGCGGCGUGCCUAAUACAUGCAAGUAGAACGCACAGUUUAUACCGUAGCUUGCUACACCAUAGACUGUGAGUUGCGAACGGGUGAGUAACGCGUAGGUAACCUGCCUGGUAGCGGGGGAUAACUAUUGGAAACGAUAGCUAAUACCGCAUAAUAUUAAUUAUUGCGUGAUAAUUAAUUGAAAGGUGCAACUGCACCACUACCAGAUGGACCUGCGUUGUAUUAGCUAGUAGGUGAGGUAACGGCUCACCUAGGCGACGAUACAUAGCCGACCUGAGAGGGUGAUCGGCCACACUGGGACUGAGACACGGCCCAGACUCCUACGGGAGGCAGCAGUAGGGAAUCUUCGGCAAUGGACGAAAGUCUGACCGAGCAACGCCGCGUGAGUGAAGAAGGUUUUCGGAUCGUAAAGCUCUGUUGUAAGAGAAGAACGGGUGUGAGAGUGGAAAGUUCACACUGUGACGGUAUCUUACCAGAAAGGGACGGCUAACUACGUG
rnacentral:rRNA from 1 species